AAAAAAUGGAAAACAUUACGUUUAAUAAUUUAUUGCGUCCGAAGCGCUUUUCUGGAUUUACCUUCAUCAGGAACGCUCAAAGCCAAACAUUUGAAAUCCGAAGAUGGGUAAGUACCGAAAAUCGUUGAAGAGCUAUAUGUCAAAAAUACCUAAAAUAAAUAGCCAAAUUCAUCUAAAGCCAACUUUGCCUGAGGGAGUUGAAACCUUACUUUUAUAAUAAUUUAAAAAAUUAUAAACGGACAAUUUUAGUAAAGUUUGUUAAAUCAUGUCAGUACCGAAGCACUGACUACUGAGCUGAUGAUACCCUCGGGGACUGAUAGUCCACCAGCAGAGGUAUCGACCCAGUGAUGUAAAAAAUGGAAAACAACACGUUUAAUAAUUUAUUGCGUCCGAAGCGCUUUUCUGGAUUUACCUUCAUCAGAAAUGCUCAAAGCCAAACAUUUGAAAUCCGAAGAUGGGUAAGUACCGAAAAUCGUUGAAGAGCUAUAUGUCAAAAAUACCUAAAAUAAAUAGCUAAAUUCAUCUAAAGCCAAC
rnacentral:lncRNA from 1 species